GGAGGAGUCGCAUAGCGGUAUUGCAGGAGAUUGCUAAUCUCCGCCCUUUCGGGGGCUCGUGGGUUCGAAUCCCACCUCCUCCG
rnacentral:tRNA from 1 species